rnacentral:rRNA from 1 species
GACGAACGCUGGCGGCGUGCCUAAUACAUGCAAGUUGAGCGCUGAAGGUUGGGACUUGUACCGACUGGAUGAGCAGCGAAGGGGUGAGUAACGCGUGGGGAAUCUGCCUUUGAGCGGGGGACAACAUUUGGAAACGAAUGCUAAUACCGCAUAAAAACUUUAAACACAAGUUUUAAGAUUGAAAGAUGCAAUUGCAUCACUCAAAGAUGAUCCCGCGUUGUAUUAGCUAGUUGGUGAGGUAAAGGCUCACCAAGGCGAGGAUACAUAGCCGACCUGAGAGGGUGAUCGGCCGCAUUGGGACUGAGACACGGCCCAAACGCCUACGGGAGGCAGCAGUAGGGAAUCUUCGGCAAUAGACGAAAGUCUGACCGAGCAACGCCGCGUGAGUGAAGAAGGUUUUCGGAUCGUAAAACUCUGUUUGUAGAGAAGAACGUUUGUGAGAGUGGAAAGCUCAUCAAGUGACGGUAACUACCCAGAAAGCGACGGCUAACUACGUG